rnacentral:rRNA from 1 species
UACGUAGGGUGCGAGCGUUAAUCGGAAUUACUGGGCGUAAAGCGUGCGCAGGCGGUUAUUUAAGUCAGGUGUGAAAGCCCUGGGCUUAACCUAGGAAUUGCGCUUGAGACUGGAUAGCUUGGAGUGCGGCAGAGGGAGGUGGAAUUCCACGUGUAGCAGUGAAAUGCGUAGAGAUGUGGAGGAACACCGAUGGCGAAGGCAGCCCCCCUGGGUCAAGACUGACGCUCAUGCACGAAAGCGUGGGGAGCAAACAGG